AGUGAACGCUGGCGGCAUGGAUAAGGCAUGCAAGUCGAGCGGUAGUCCUGGCUUCGGCCGGGGCGAGAGCGGCGAAAGGGUGAGUAACGCGUGAGCAACCUGCCCCCGAGUCCGGGAUAGCCACUCGAAAGGGUGGGUAAUACCGGAUGUGGCGUCUGGUCGAAUGGCCGGAUUGCUGAAGGCUUCGGUCGCUCGGGGAGGGGCUCGCGUCCCAUCAGCUUGUUGGUGAGGUAACGGCUCACCAAGGCGACGACGGGUAGCUGGUCUGAGAGGAUGGUCAGCCACACUGGGACUGAGACACUGCCCAGACUCCUACGGGAGGCUGCAGUCGAGAAUCUUCCGCAAUGGGCGCAAGCCUGACGGAGCGAUGCCGCGUGGGGGAUGAAGGCCUUCGGGUUGUAAACCCCUGUCAGGAGGGACGAAGUGUGUGACGGUACCUCCAGAGGAAGCCACGGCUAACCACGUGCCAGCAGCCGCGGUAAGACGUGGGUGGCGAGCGUUACUCGGAUUUACUGGGCGUAAAGGGUCCGCAGGGGGUCUGCCAAGUCCGGUGUGAAAUCCCGCGGCUCAACCGCGGAAUGGCGCCGGAAACUGGCGGACUGGAGUGCACGAGGGGAGAGCGGAAUUCCCGGUGUAGCGGUGAAAUGCGUAGAUAUCGGGAGGAACGCCGAUGGCGAAAGCGGCUCUCUGGCGUGCUACUGACCCUCAUGGACGAAAGCGUGGGGAGCGAACAGGAUUAGAUACCCUGGUAGUCCACGCUAUAAACGGUGCGCACUCGGUGUGGGCGGUUCCUUCCGGUCCCGUCCGUGCCCAAGCCAACGCGUUAAGUGCGCCGCCUGGGGACUACGGCCGCAAGGCUAAAACUCAAAGGAAUUGACGG
rnacentral:rRNA from 1 species